rnacentral:lncRNA from 1 species
CGAAAAAUGAUUUAAAAAUUAGAAAAAUUAGAUUUUAAUUAUUAAAAAUACCAAAUAAAUUAUGAAAAAUUAUUUUAAAGUCUGAAAAAUAGUUUUUAAUUAUUUUGAGUAUAUUUCAUAAAUAUUUAAUAUUUUUAGAAUAUAAAAGGUAUUUAUUUAUUUAAUUAUAAUAUUAAAUAAAUUAUUUAAAAAUAGUUUUAAUUCAUGAAAAAUCAUGAAAAAUUAUAUUAUGG